AUUGAACGCUGGCGGCAGGCCUAACACAUGCAAGUCGCACGAGUGGCGGACGGGUGAGUCAUGUCUGGGCAACUGCCUGAUGGAGGGGGAUAACUACUGGAAACCGUAGCUAAUACCGCAUACCAUCAGAUGUGCCCAGGUGGGAUUAGCUAGUUGGUGUGGUAACGGCUCACCAAGGCGACGAUGCCUACCUGGUCUGAGAGGAUGACCAUGCACACUGGAACUGAGACACGGUCCAGACUCCUACGGGAGGCAGAAGUGGGGAAUAUUGCACAAUGGGCGCAAGCCUGAUGCAGCCAUGCCGCGUGUAUGAAGAAGGCAUUCGGGUUGUAAAGUACUUUCGGCGGGGAGGCGUUACCCGAAGAAGAAGCAACGGCUAACUCCGUGCCAGCAGCCGCGGUAAUAC
rnacentral:rRNA from 1 species